rnacentral:rRNA from 1 species
AUUGAACGCUGGCGGCAGGCCUAACACAUGCAAGUCGAACGAGUGGCGGACGGGUGAGUAAUGUCUGGGAAACUGCCCGAUGGAGGGGGAUAACUACUGGAAACAGUAGCUAAUAACGCAUACCAUCGGAUGUGCCCAGAUGGGAUGAUCUAGGAGGGGGGGUAACGGCUCACCUAGGCGACGAUCCCUAGCUGGUCUGAGAGGAUGAACAGCAACACUGGAACGGAGACACGGUCCAGACUCCUACGUGAGGCAGCAGUGGGGAAUAUUGCACAAUGGGCGCAAGCCUGAUGCAGCCAGGCCGCGUGUAUGAAGAAGGCCUUCGGGUUGUAAAGUACGUUCAGCGAGGAGGCGUUACUCGCAGAAGAAGCACCGGCUAACUCCGUGCCAGCCGCCGCGGUAAUAC